rnacentral:rRNA from 1 species
AGGGUCUAGCAUAGAUCGCUGACGACCGGCGCACGGGUGAGUAACACGUAUCCAACCUUCCUUUUACUCGGGGAUAGCCUUUCGAAAGAAAGAUUAAUACCCGAUAGUAUGCUUUUCCCGCAUGGGAGAAUCAUUAAAGUUUUUCGGUAAUCGAUGGGGAUGCGUUCCAUUAGGCAGUUGGUGAGGUAACGGCUCACCAAACCUUCGAUGGAUAGGGGUUCUGAGAGGAAGGUCCCCCACAUUGGAACUGAGACACGGUCCAAACUCCUACGGGAGGCAGCAGUGAGGAAUAUUGGUCAAUGGACGAGAGUCUGAACCAGCCAAGUAGCGUGAAGGAUGACUGCCCUAUGGGUUGUAAACUUCUUUUAUAUGGGAAUAAAGGAGCCUACGUGUAGGUUUUUGUAUGUACCAUACGAAUAAGGAUCGGCUAACUCCGUGCCAGCAGCCGCGGUAAUACGGAGGAUCCAAGCGUUAUCCGGAUUUAUUGGGUUUAAAGGGAGCGUAGGUGGAGGCUUAAGUCAGUUGUGAAAGUUUGCGGCUCAACCGUAAAAUUGCAGUUGAUACUGGGUUUCUUGAGUACAGUAGAGGUGGGCGGAAUUCGUGGUGUAGCGGUGAAAUGCUUAGAUAUCACGAAGAACUCCGAUUG